GUGGCAGGCGCCGGGCCUAAAGGUCUGGGUCCCGGCGAAACGAGCGGAGCCGACCGAGCCCCUGGAAUCGCUCGGGUCACGGUUCCGGAGGUGAAACCCGAGAUCGUUUACUGGAUUCCCAAGGCCCGGGUCGGGCCUGACGGAGGGUGCCCGCGGAGCCCUAACAGCUGCAGAGCGAGGGCAUCAAGGGCUGGAGUGGAGCAGACGCUGCCCAUGGAGCUGGGGGACAAAGUGGACAGGGGGCGGUGGUGAUGGCGCAGUUCGACACUGAAUACCAGCGCCUUGAGGCUUCCUACAGUGAUUCACCCCCUGGAGAGGAGGACCUAUUGGUGCACGUCCCUGAGGGGAGCAAAUCACCCUGGCACCACAUUGAAAACCUUGACCUCUUCUUCUCUCGA